AUUGAACGCUGGCGGCAUGCCUUACACAUGCAAGUCGAACGGUAACAGGUCUUCGGAUGCUGACGAGUGGCGAACGGGUGAGUAAUGCAUCGGAACGUGCCCAGUAGUGGGGGAUAGCCCGGCGAAAGCCGGAUUAAUACCGCAUACGACCUGAGGGUGAAAGGGGGGGAUCGCAAGACCUCUCGCUAUUGGAGCGGCCGAUGUCAGAUUAGCUAGUUGGUGGGGUAAAGGCCUACCAAGGCAACGAUCUGUAGUUGGUCUGAGAGGACGACCAGCCACACUGGGACUGAGACACGGCCCAGACUCCUACGGGAGGCAGCAGUGGGGAAUUUUGGACAAUGGGCGCAAGCCUGAUCCAGCAAUGCCGCGUGCAGGAAGAAGGCCUUCGGGUUGUAAACUGCUUUUGUCAGGGAAGAAAUCUUCUGGGUUAAUACCUCGGGAGGAUGACGGUACCUGAAGAAUAAGCACCGGCUAACUACGUGCCAGCCGCCGCCGUAA
rnacentral:rRNA from 1 species